rnacentral:rRNA from 1 species
CCUACGGGCGGCAGCAGUGAGGAAUAUUGGUCAAUGGACGCAAGUCUGAACCAGCCAUGCCGCGUGCAGGAAGACGGCCCUAUGAGUUGUAAACUGCUUUUGUACGAGGGUAAACGCAGAUACGCGUAUCUGUCUGAAAGUAUCGUACGAAUAAGGAUCGGCUAACUCCGUGCCAGCAGCCGCGGUAAUACGGAGGAUUCAAGCGUUAUCCGGAUUUAUUGGGUUUAAAGGGUGCGUAGGCGGUCGGAUAAGUUAGCGGUGAAAUCCCGAGGCUCAACUUCGGCAUUGCCUCUGAUACUGUUCGGCUAGAGAGUAGGUGCGGUAGGCGGAAUGUAUGGUGUAGCGGUGAAAUGCUUAGAGAUCAUACAGAACACCGAUUGCGAAGGCAGCUUACCAAGCUACUUCUGACGUUGAGGCACGAAAGCGUGGGGAGCGAACAGGAUUAGAUACCCCUGUAGUC